GACGAACCGAGCGAACGUUAUUCGGAAUCACUGGGCUUAAAGGGAGCGUAGGCGGGCUAUCAAGUCUGGGGUGAAAUCCCGCGGCUCAACCGCGGAACUGCCUCAGAUACUGACGGCCUCGAGGGGGAUAGGGGCAUGCGGAACUGUAGGUGGAGCGGUGAAAUGCGUUGAUAUCUACAGGAACUCCGGUGGCGAAAGCGGCGUGCUGGAUCCCUUCUGACGCUGAGGCUCGAAAGCUAGGGGAGCAAACGGG
rnacentral:rRNA from 1 species